AACGAACGCUGGCGGCGCGCCUAAUACAUGCAAGUCGAGCGAGAAGGUGUAGCAAUACACUUGUAAAGCGGCGAACGGGUGAGGAAUACAUGGGUAACCUACCCUCGAGUGGGGAAUAACUAGCCGAAAGGUUAGCUAAUACCGCGUACGCUUCCGGGACUGCGGUUCCGGAAGGAAAGCGAUACUGUGAGUAUCGCGCUCUUGGAUGGGCUCAUGUCCUAUCAGCUUGUUGGGAGGUAACGGCUCACCAAGGCUUCGACGGGUAGCUGGUCUGAGAGGACGAUCAGCCACACUGGCACUGCGACACGGGCCAGACUCCUACGGGAGGCAGCAGUGGGGAAUCUUGGACAAUGGAGGAAACUCUGAUCCAGCCAUGCCGCGUGAGUGAUGAAGGCCUU
rnacentral:rRNA from 1 species